UUCGGGCCUCUUGCCAUCAGAUGUGCCCAGAUGGGAUUAGCUUGUUGGUGAGGUAACGGCUCACCAAGGCGACGAUCCCUAGCUGGUCUGAGAGGAUGACCAGCCACACUGGAACUGAGACACGGUCCAGACUCCUACGGGAGGCAGCAGUGGGGAAUAUUGCACAAUGGGCGCAAGCCUGAUGCAGCCAUGCCGCGUGUAUGAAGAAGGCCUUCGGGUUGUAAAGUACUUUCAGCGGGGAGGAAGGUGUUGUGGUUAAUAACCGCAGCAAUUGACGUUACCCGCAGAAGAAGCACCGGCUAACUCCGUGCCAGCAGCCGCGGUAAUACGGAGGGUGCAAGCGUUAAUCGGAAUUACUGGGCGUAAAGCGCACGCAGGCGGUCUGUCAAGUCGGAUGUGAAAUCCCCGGGCUCAACCUG
rnacentral:rRNA from 1 species